CAGCAGCCGCGGGAACACGUAGGUGGCGAGCGUUGUCCGGAAUCAUUGGGCGUAAAGGGAGCGCAGGCGGGCAUGUAAGUCUUUCUUAAAAGUUCGGGGCUCAACCCCGUGAUGGGAAAGAAACUACAUGUCUUGAGUACAGGAGAGGAAAGCGGAAUUCCCAGUGUAGCGGUGAAAUGCGUAGAUAUUGGGAGGAACACCAGUGGCGAAGGCGGCUUUCUGGACUGCAACUGACGCUGAGGCUCGAAAGCCAGGGGAGCGAACGGGAUUAGAUACCCCCGUAGUCCCUGUCUCUUAUACA
rnacentral:rRNA from 1 species